UUCUGACCGUAAACGAUGCCAACUAGCGAUCCGCCGGCGGAUUCCAAACGCCCUGGUGGGGAGCUUCCCGGAAACGAUUAAGUCUUCCGGUUCCGGGGGAAGUAUGGUUGCAAAGCUGAAACUUAAAGGAAUUGACGGAAGGGCACCACCAGGAGUGGAGCCUGCGGCUUAAUUUGACUCAACACGGGGAAACUCACCCGGCCCGGACACCGCGAGGAUUGACAGAUUGAUAGCUCUUUCAUGAUUCGGUGGAUGGUGGUGCAUGGCCGUUCUUAGUUCGUGGAGUGAUUUGUCUGGUUUAUUCCGAUAACGAGCGAGACUCUAGCCUACUAACUAGUCCGCAUGCUCCCAACUGCAUGCCACCCAGGAGACUUCUUAGAGGGAUUUUCGGCGUUUCAGCCGCACGAAACUGAGCAAUAACAGGUCUGUGAUGCCCUUAGAUGUCCGGGGCUGCACGCGCGCUACACUGGCGAAAUCAGCGUGCCUGUCCUCUCGCGAAAGCGACUGGUAAACCGGUGAAAAUUCGCCGUGCUUGGGAUCGGAAAUUGCAAUUAUUUUCCGUGAACGAGGAAUUCCAAGUAAGUGCGAGUCAUCAACUCGCGUUG
rnacentral:rRNA from 1 species